rnacentral:lncRNA from 1 species
CCCCAACCAAAUCUUUUCAGGUCAUUUGUCGUCCUCAUAUCUGUAUUUGGACACAAUUAUUCGUCGUAGAUUUCAGCAAGAUUAAAAGUGUAAAUACAUCAACAAAAUACGACAGUACGGUACCGGGACGGAGUAAGGCCGUGACGUACAAGUUGUUCUGUGCUGUGAUUGGCUGAAGAGGAAUAGUUAAAUCGCCGCGUUCUAAAACUGGACCUUGCGAUUUGACAUGUUCAAUAUCUGGCGACUCCUUGCAACGCCUUGCGACGCCUUGCGACGGCUUGCAACGACCCGUUCACACCGCCCCUGCGACGUUCUAAAACCGUCUCGUUGCAAGCCGUUGCAAGGUGAAUCUUUGGUCUGAACUGGGCUUAAGGUGUGUGUGUGUGUGUGUGUGUGUGUGUGUGUGUGUGUGUGCGUGUGCGUGUGCAUGUGUGAUGUGUGUGUGUGAUGUGUAUUGUGCGCGAGCACUGCAUUCAUAACAUUCGUUUUCAUAGAAAUCACGUGCCCGCGCUGAGGGAGGCGUGUUUUUUCCACUGCGAGUCAACGGUGUCGCAGCGAAGAGCCUUUCUUUCACUUCCUUUCACCUGAUUAACUUGUUUUAGAAACACUCUAACCUCCGUUUCUUCCUUACAUUUAAACUUUUACAACUUUAUACCGUAUGGACGCAAUAUAAUCCCGGAGUAGAUACGAUAAGGUCUCCAGUCUACUAUGGAUGAGGAGAGAGAGGAGGGGGGUCCUACCUCUAAGACCACUCUGUCUGGGGAACAUGGCCGCCGGAGCAAAGCUAAGAGCCCAGAGCAGAGAGCAGACUCCCCUGGACCCAGCUGUGUCUCCAUGAAGAGUGACAGCUCUAUGGAACAACCUCAUAACUUUAAAGAUGGAAAUCAGUCUAUUGAGAAGAGAAGAGUCCAGCAGGAGAGAGCAGACUCCCCUGGACCCAGCUGUGUCUCCAUGAAGAGUGGCUGGUCUAUGGAUAUACCAUUGGUGUUUAAAGAUGGACGCCCCCCCAGAGAGGAGAGGUAGGACUUUUAAACAGACAAGGAAAACAGACCAGUUGGUUGUUAUCAGUCUCUACUGCUGCUGAUAUUUACAAGUGUGUGUGUGUGUGUGUGUGUGUGUGUGUGUGUGUGUGUGUGUGUGUGUGUGUGUGUGUGUUUGUUUUUACCACCUUGUGAGGACUUGCGCUUGUAAAACUAGCCAUCUUGUUAGGACCAUGUGACAAAGUUAGGACCUAAAUCAUGGUCCUAAGAAGGAUAAGCAGUGUAACA